AUCUGCUCUGCUGGAGUUUUGUGGGUGAGCCCGGGGUAGGGCUGUUGUUUAAAUGAUACACAAAUGGUGUGAUCUGUAUGCUUUCCAACAAACAGCUGGAAUUAAACUGUUACAGAGCAAGUCUGUUGGAGCAAAAAGGGUGUAGUAUGCCCUGAUAAACCUGUGCCCCUGUUCAUCUCAUAAUUCCAGAGGCUGAUGGAUUCCAUUGCCAAGGGAUUUGGGCUGAGCUCCUUCAUUUCUGAACAGAUAUUGCAGCUUCAGUGCAAGUUAAUCUCCAAGUGGCUGCUCAGACACUGGCAUUAUGUCCUUCGUUGGAUUUCCCUUUCCCAAAGGGAGCAAGUCUGAGCACUACUGACUUGCAGAAACCAAAUCUUGAAAGUAGAAGCUGGAUCUCUAUAUUUGAAGAGGAAGAUAAUAAUA